rnacentral:lncRNA from 1 species
GCGACGCGAUUCCACUGGCUGUUGACUACAGGUUCCCAGACAGGUUAACCCUCUCACACAUACCAUCACAGGGAUGUGAUCGUUCUACAGUGGUCCCUAAAGUGUACGAUCACACCCGUGCUUUUAGAACGCUCAUUUAGAAUGGCCAGUUUCGAAUGACGUAACAAUCAGCAUUUGAGCUGGCCACAUUUUUUCCAGAAACUAUUUACACAAACAGUCCUUACAAUGUUAUGUCCAGAAUGUGAGUGGUUUAUUUUUGGAUGCAAUGUUCAGAUAUUCACAAGUAUCUACAGCAUAACACAAUCAUCCUACCCAGAAAAUGUAGGCUACAUAUGAGGAAAGAUUGAUGCAACACAAGCGGUCAUAUUUCCUAACUCUCGGCUGACAAACUACAAUACGAAUUAGCUAAUAGCAACUAAAUCAAAUCAAAUUUAUUUAUAUAGCCCUUCAUACAUCAGCUGAUAUCUCAAAGUGCUGUACAGAAACCCAGCCUAAAACCCCAAACAGCAAGCAAUGCAGGUGUAGAAGCACGGUGGCUAGGAAAAACUCCCUAGAAAGGCCAAAACCUAGGAAGAAACCUAGAGAGGAACCAGGCUAUGAGGGGUCGCCAGUCCUCUUCUGGCUGUGCCGGGUGGAGAUUAUAGCAGCAGAUGGCCUAGAUGUUCAAAUGUUCAUAAAUGACCAGCAUUGUCAAAUAAUAAUAAUCAUAGUAGUUGUCGAGGGUGCAACAAGUCAGUAACACAAGAGUAAGUGUCAGUUGGCUUUUUCAUAGCCGAUCUUUGAGAGUAUCUCUCUAGAGACAGCAGGAGCGGUAGAGUUGAAAACAGCAGGUCUGGGACAGGUAGCACGUCCGGUGAACAGGUCAGGGUUCCAUAGCUGCAGGCUGAACAGUUGGAACUUGAGCAGCAGCACGGCCAGGUGAACUGGGGACAGCAAGGAGUCAUCAAGCCAGGUAGUCCUGAGGCAUGGUCCUAGGGCUCAGGUCCUCAGAAAGAAAGAAAGAAAG